AUUGAACGCUGGCGGCAGGCCUAACACAUGCAAGUCGAACGAGUGGCGGACGGGUGAGUAAUGUCUGGGAAACUGCCUGAUGGAGGGGGAUAACUACUGGAAACGGUAGCUAAUACCGCAUACCAUCGGAUGUGCCCAGAUGGGAUUAGCUAGUAGGUGGGGUAAAGGCUCACCUAGGCGACGAUCCCUAGCUGGUCUGAGAGGGUGACCAGCCACACUGGAACUGAGACACGGGCCAGACUCCUACGGGAGGCAGCAGUGGGGAAUAUUGCACAAUGGGCGAAAGCCUGAUGCAGCAAUGCCGCGUGGAUGAAGAAGGCCUUCGGGUUGUAAAGUACUUUCAGCGGGGAGGCGUUACCCGAAGAGGAAGCACCGGCUAACUCCGUGCCAGCAGCCGCGGUAAUUC
rnacentral:rRNA from 1 species